GCUUCAGAAAGAAAAGAGCAAAAACAACAGACCUUCAUUCAGCUUAGGAACAUAAUAAAUAGGAUGAAGUUGAAUAAACGAAAUGGAGGGGAGUGAAGUAUUCCAGAUGGAAGAGGCAGUACGUGGCCAAGAGGAAACAGACCAUGUGCGCUGGAGAAAAAGGAUGGCCAGACUUGCAGAAACCUGGAAUUGGUGAUUGGCUUUAGAAGUGGAGAGACAAAAAAGGAGGCAUAGAAAGUGCCAACAUUUGGCUACACAGGGAAGAAAGACGUAAAAUAAUAAAAACAUUGGCAUCACCUGUAGACUCAAAUCCUGUGAGUGAAGGACCUGAGCAAUGAAGGAUGGAUUGAACUCGUGAUUAGCCUUCUUCAGCAUAUGUAAAAUGAUGUCUGCUUUUCUUCUCUAUUUGUCAUUUUACCGACUUUUUAUAUAGUUUCCCCAUAUCCAUGGAGGAUGUAUCCCAAGACCCCCAGAGGAUGCUUGAAACCACAGAUAAUAACAAACUCUUAUGUAUCCUAUGAUUUUUCCUGUACAUCCUUACCUAUCAUAAAGUGAGUGUAUAAAUUAGGCACAGGAGAUUAAAAACAAUAACUCAUAAUAAAAUAGAACAAUUAGUACAACCUAAUGAAA
rnacentral:antisense_RNA from 1 species